rnacentral:rRNA from 1 species
AUGGCUCAGGAUGAACGCUAGCUACAGGCUUAACACAUGCAAGUCGAGGGGCAGCAUGAUCAAAGCUUGCUUUGAUUGAUGGCGACCGGCGCACGGGUGAGUAACGCGUAUCCAACCUUCCCUAUAGUAGUGGAUAGCCCGGCGAAAGUCGGAUUAAUACACUAUGUUGUAUUUAGAGGACAUCUGAAGAAUACCAAAGGUUUACCGCUAUAGGAUGGGGGAUGCGUCUGAUUAGAUAGUAGGCGGGGUAACGGCCCACCUAGUCGACGAUCAGUAGGGUUCUGAGAGGAAGGUCCCCCACAUUGGAACUGAGACACGGUCCAAACUCCUACGGGAGGCAGCAGUGAGGAAUAUUGGUCAAUGGACGGGAGUCUGAACCAGCCAAGUAGCGUGCCAGGAUGACGGCCCUAUGGGUUGUAAACUGCUUUUAUACGGGGAUAAAGUGAGCCACGUGUGGCUUUUUGUAGGUACCGUAUGAAUAAGGACCGGCUAAUUCCGUGCCAGCAGCAGC